rnacentral:rRNA from 1 species
UACGUAGGGGGGCGAGCGUUGUCCGAAGUUACUGGGCGUAAAGCGCGCGUAGGCGGGGGGUUAAGUGAGAGGUGAAAGGCUGGGGCUCAACCUCAUGCAGUGCCUCUCAUACUGGCCUUCUUGAGGGCGGUAGGGAGAAGUGGAAUGGCUGGUGUAGCGGUGAAAUGCGUAGAUAUCUGAAGGAACAUCAGUGGCGAAAGCGACUUCCUGGACCAAUACUGACGCUCAUGUGCGAAAGCGUGGGGAGCAAACAGG